rnacentral:rRNA from 1 species
UACAGAGGGUGCAAGCGUUAAUCGGAAUUACUGGGCGUAAAGCGCGCGUAGGUGGUUUGUUAAGUUGGAUGUGAAAUCCCCGGGCUCAACCUGGGAACUGCAUUCAAAACUGUCAAGCUAGAGUAUGGUAGAGGGUGGUGGAAUUUCCUGUGUAGCGGUGAAAUGCGUAGAUAUAGGAAGGAACACCAGUGGCGAAGGCGACCAUCUGGACUGAUACUGACACUGAGGUGCGAAAGCGUGGGGAGCAAACAGG